rnacentral:rRNA from 1 species
CGGCGGACGGGUGAGUAACGCGUAGGAAUCUACCUAGUAGUGGGGGAUAGCCCAGAGAGAUUUGGAUUAAUACCGCAUACGCCCUACGGGGGAAAGGAGGGGAUCUUCGGACCUUUCGCUAUUAGAUGAGCCUGCGUGAGAUUAGCUAGUUGGUGGGGUAAAGGCUCGCCAAGGCGACGAUCUCUAGCUGGUCUGAGGGGAUGAUCAGCCACACUGGGACUGAGACACGGCCCAG